AGCAGCGUGGCUCAGGGGAAAGAGCACGGGCUUGGGAGCCAGAGUCAUGGGUUCAAAUCCUGACUCUGCCA
rnacentral:tRNA from 1 species